CAUUAGAUACCCGUGUAGUCCCAGCCGUAAACUAUGCUCGCUAGGUGUCAGGCAUGGCGCGACCGUGUCUGGUGCCGCAGGGAAGCCGUGAAGCGAGCCACCUGGGAAGUACGGCCGCAAGGCUGAAACUUAAAGGAAUUGGCGGGGGAGCACAACAACGGGUGGAGCCUGCGGUUUAAUUGGACUCAACGCCGGACAACUCACCGGGGACGACAGCAAUAUGUAGGCCAGGCUGAAGACCUUGCCUGAAUCGCUG
rnacentral:rRNA from 1 species